rnacentral:sRNA from 1 species
GUUGCCACAUUCAUCCUCCAGAAGAUCUUGUUAGAUGACACUGGUUUGGCUUAUAUAUGUCAGACGUAUGAGCGUUUCUCCCAUGUUGCCAUGAUCUUGGGUAAGAUGGUCCUGCAGCUAUCCAAAGAGCCUUCUGCCCGUCUGCUGAAGCAUGUAGUGAGAUGUUACCUUCGACUUUCAGAUAACCCCAGGUAAACAUUUAUAGGAUGUAUAGGACUUUAGGGAAAUACUCUGCUGAACAGUUUCCUAAUCUCAUGGCAUAGCUCCUGUGUCUUUAGGACAGGGAAGUGGGGAUAUAACUGCAUUUAGUUUGUCUGAGACAGAACUUAGAUUCUUUUUAAAAUCUGAAAUGCUGAAUUUUAGUAGCCAUCAGUUUCAUCUUCUCACUGUAACUCUCCAUCCUACUGUGAAAUUCCAGAGAGUCUAGGCGAUUCCAAAGGAAACCUUAUGAUGCAUUACUCCUGUUGUUUGAAUUUUCUGUUGCUACUCUACGUGGUCAGAAAGAGAAGUAUAUUUUCAAAGAUCUCUUAAAAAGGAACACAGCCCAGAGGGCUCU